rnacentral:lncRNA from 1 species
GAGCAGCUUACGUGUGUAAUAUGUGAGGAUGAGGCGGAGCAGCACAUUAAAGGGGAUCCACAAGCCGUGAGAACUAACCAUAAUUGUUGAAUUGUAUUUCUUCUAUGAUGGUUGUAAUGAAUUGUGUAGAAUGGUAUGACUUUAUACCUAAACUAUGAAUAUCAUGGAAAGUUAUCUCGUGUUCAUAUUUCGAAAGGAAAGGGAAUACAAACGAUAGGAAAUUUAUUCCAACCCAAUUCUUCCUAAAUUCUCUAUUUCGGUAAACUGGUUCUUACCAGAAUUAUAUAUGAACAAUGAGGAAGAACAGAACCCCC